rnacentral:rRNA from 1 species
UACAGAGGGGGCAAGCGUUAUUCGGAAUUAUUGGGCGUAAAGGGCGCGUAGGCGGCCUGGCAAGUGGAUGGUGAAAUCCCUCGGCUUAACCGAGGAACUGCCAUCCAGACUGCUUGGCUUGAGACCGGGAGAGGUGAGUGGAAUUCCCAGUGUAGCGGUGAAAUGCGUAGAUAUUGGGAGGAACACCAGUGGCGAAGGCGGCUCACUGGACCGGAACUGACGCUGAGGCGCGAAAGCGUGGGGAGCAAACGGG